AGUCAAGAGUCUUUGGCACCGUAAUUUGGUGAGCAUGUUUCUUUUGCCUUUUUGAAGGUGAAAAAAUG
rfam:Rhizobium sp. Leaf453 contig_18, whole genome shotgun sequence.